ensembl:snRNA U6 U6 spliceosomal RNA
GUACUAACUUUGACAGCACACACAUAUACAAAAAUUGAAUGAUAUAGAGAAUAUUAGCAUGGCCUUUGUGCCAGGAUGGCAUAUAAAUUUGUGAAACAGUCCAUAUCUAA